GCGCGGCGGCCGGAGCCGAACGGUUCCGAACGGUUCCGAGCGGUUCCGAGCGGUUCCGAACGGACCCGAAGGGCUCCGAACCGGGGUGGGGGGGGGGGAGACCCCGAGCGGAGCCGAACCCGAGCGGGGGGGCCCGAACCGAACCGAACCCGAGCGGGGGGAGCCGAGCGGAGCCGAACCGAGCCGAACCGAGCCGAACCGAGCCGAGCGGAGCCGAAGGGAGGCGCCAUGGCCACCCCCACCGAGCCGGCCAUGGGAGAGGCUGCGCGGGCCCGGGAGCCCUUCCACUACGAUUACGAAUCGCUGCGGCUGGCGGGGCUGAUCCUGAGCAUCGUCAUGUUCGUGCUGGGGGUGCUGAUCGCCCUCAGUAAGAAAUUCAAGUGCAAAAAGGCCGAGCCCAGCGCCCCCGAGGCCGCCAAGAGCCCCCCUCCCGCGGCCUCGGCGUAGCCCCGCCCCCCCCGGAAUGAAGCCCCGCCCACGCGGAUGAAGCCCCGCCCACCCGGGCUAAGCCCCGCCCCCAGUGCAUGAAAAACCCCCCCAAAACCAAAAAUUUGGGGGGAAAUUUGGGGGACCCCCCCCCUGCACGGAGCCAAGGACCCCCAAAAACCCCAAAAAACCCCAAAAAACCCCAAAAAAACCCCAAAUUUUGGGGUCCCUCCCCCCCUUUGGAGCCCCCCAAAAAUCGGGGACCCCUCCCCCACCCCCCUCCAGCACUCGGGACCCCCCCAAAAAAAAAUUUGGGGGGACCCUCCCUCUAGAAAUGCACUUUCUCACCUGGGAGAGCCCCAAAAAUUUGGGGACCCCCCCCCAAAAAUGCACUUUGAGAUCGGGGACACCCCGAAAAUAAAUUGGGGACCCCCCCCCAAAAAAAAAAAAUAAAACCCGAAAUUCAGGGGAACCCCCCCCUCCCCAAAAAAUUGGGGACCCCAAAAAUUUUGGGGACCCCCCCCGGCCCAAACCUCCCCAA